AAAAGUUUUGUUUAUUUAUUAAAAUUGAGUAUUCUUGUUAGAAAGUUUUGUCUUUUUUCUGGUAUAGUCGUAAGUUUUAUGAUUUAACAGUCACUCAGGUAAUAAUGGUUUUAAAGACAUAAAGGGUACUUUAGUUUUGAUAUUACAGAAAGACACUGAGAGAUUUUAAAUUAAACUUAUAAGGUUAUGGGAUAUUUGUGCUUAUAAAAUGUUUUUAUUGCUAAUAUUUACAUUUAAAAAGCCAAAAAUUAAGAUCAUAGCAAUAAGCACCAUAUGCUAACCAGAAAUUGGAAUGUUUAUUUCUUUGAUGCAGUAAGGCAAUGACUUAAGUCUGGAAAAGGACUUGCAGUAGCUUCUAAGCCCAUGAGUCUCAACCCUUUGGGGGUUAAAAAGCAUUUUUAUAAGAGUAGCCUAGGACCACCUGCACGUCAGAUGUUUACAUUGGUAACAACAGGAAAACAGGGAUCACCACAACAUGGGAAACUCCUUUAAAAGUCAAAGCAUUAAAGCUAACCCUGACAGUGUGAAGUCCUAGUCUUAUAAAAGCUGCUAAACUACUAUAUUGUAAAAUGUUAAUAAAUAGAAGUUUAUAGUCAUCCUUAUAAAUGAUCAAGUUUGUUAAUUGUAGUCAUGCUAAGUACUUAUGUAAUUAAUUACAGGAAUAAACCUUAUUUAGUCCCCUGUAUAUGUUUUCAAAAAUUAAGGUCAAAACAAGUAACUGGAAAUAAAGUUGUCUAUUCAGAUUUACCUAGGCAGCACUCUUAAUACUACAGAGAUCUACAGAAUAUGGCAUUCAAAAUGUUAACUUAAAAGCCUAUAAUAUCAGACAGAUACUCCCAGAUCCUGAAAGUGACUCACGGUCUCCAAAGAAGAUUAUGGGGCACCACAAUGCCUACACCUGGAUUAUGAUGAUGCUGACCAGUGGGCAAUAUGCCCCAAUACAACACUUGCUGCCAGGACCCGGCCUAGAUUGUGGACAAGCUGCAGGACACUGGAAAAUUGAUUGCACCACUUUUGCCUGACAAAAUAAGGUUUCUGCUUCUGACAGACAUAUCCAAGCAUCAGCUGCUGAUUACAGCCAGCUCCAAAAGACUGUGAACUCUGGACUUGCUGCAGAUGUAGUCCAGUCCAGCUGAUGUCAACACUCCCUGUCUCUUCAAUAGUCUGUGAGCUAGAUGCUUCUGAUAAAUACCCCUUUGCGUAAAUCCCCUUUUUGCUUUUGACUAGCAUUUCAGCAGGAAGCAGUCAUAGAAAAGAAUACAGCGUCCCUUUUCCCUGGUCGAAAUGCUAAGUCAAAAGAAAACUUUUGGCCCCUGUAUUUUAAAUAAAUUGGUCCAAUUUAUAAAAGAUCCAUUAGGUACUAUUCAACUUACGGUACAAAGGUCACAGAACUGUAGACAAGACUAUAAAUUAAAUUUCUGUAGCCCAUGAUUGGGUUAUGCGUAUAAAAGAGGAGUGAAUGAAAGAGUUAAAAAUCAAAUAAACCUCAGCAACUUUUUCAGAGUAGAGCAACUCCACCUUGACCUCCGAGAUACCUAGUUCCACCAUGUUCCAAGGAAUAUAGAACCCAGACCACUUUUGGGAAGUGAAAAGGUCACAGUACAACCCCGAAACCAUAGAAUGUUCCCUCCCAAUGACCACCAAUGAAAAUAUGUAAGAUCACAGGUUGUACUGCCAAAAUAUGAAUUCCCCUAGCCCUCACGUCAAUGAGUCCAGGUCACCUACUCUUAUCUAAUCCUGAACAGUCAAGGCACUACCACCCUGCUUAUGGUUUUUUUCCUUUAAAAAACCCUUGCAACUGAGGCUAGGCACCGUUUUCCUGCAACUGCUGUGCCAGUUUGCUGGGCAGGGUCCCUGCUGAGGCUUAUAACUUAACAUUAAAGCUUAUGCAUUUGCAUCA